UACAGAGGGGGCAAGCGUUGUUCGGAAUUACUGGGCGUAAAGGGCGCGUAGGCGGCCUGUUAAGUCGAACGUGAAAUCCCCGGGCUCAACCCGGGAACUGCGCCCGAUACUGGCAGGCUUGAAUCCGGGAGAGGGAUGCGGAAUUCCAGGUGUAGCGGUGAAAUUCGUAGAUAUUCGGAGGAACACCAGUGGCGAAGGCGGCUCACUGGCCCGAUACUGACGCUGAGGCGCGAAAGCGUGGGGAUCAAACAGG
rnacentral:rRNA from 1 species